rnacentral:rRNA from 1 species
GACGAACGCUGGCGGCGUGCCUAACACAUGCAAGUCGAGCGGAGUCGAUCGACGGAAGCCUUCGGGCGGAAGAUGGUUGACUUAGCGGCGGAUGGGUGAGUAACGCGUGGGCAACCUGCCUCGAAGACCGGGAUAACAGCCCGAAAGGGCUGCUAAUACCGGAUGUGGUCAAGGAUCCGCAUGGAUUUUUGAUUAAAGGGGAAACCCGUUUCGAGAUGGGCCCGCGUCCUAUCAGCUAGUUGGUGAGGUAAAAGCUCACCAAGGCGACGACGGGUAGCCGGCCUGAGAGGGUGACCGGCCACACUGGAACUGAGACACGGUCCAGACUCCUACGGGGGGCAGCAGUGGGGAAUCUUCCACAAUGGGCGAAAGCCUGAUGGAGCGACGCCGCGUGAGCGAAGAAGGCCUUCGGUUGUAAAGCUCUGUCUGGAGGGACGAAGGAAGUGACGGUACCUCCGGAGGAAGCCACGGCUAACUACGUGCCAGCAGCCGCGGUAAAGUCACGUCG